ACUCCGCUUGGGACAAAUCUUUAUGAAUGUGCCGGAGCCUGGCCGCUCUGGGCCAGUGUUUUCAUGGAAAUGGGCCAGGGCCCUGCUGAAGUCGCAGAGUGUGAAUGGCCUCCCUCCUCCCCUCCUCUGCCUGAUUUGCAUGACUGAGCUUUCUGCUCUUUCCUCUAAGGUGCUUGUUGAUUAUUGAUCUGUCUCCUAUGGAGAGACAAAUUAUCAGCCCACCAGCAGUGGCCUAAAUUUGGCAGAAGCCCCAGCUGUGUCUGCAGCAAACCAGAGUCAGAGGGUCACACUCAUCCACAGGAAAAUCCCAGAACUCUGAUGGCCCAAGGACGCAAGGAUCCAAGCUGCUCUGGCCCCAGCAGCGUUCUCAAGAGGAAUCUUGGCGAGGAGAACUGGAGGGCCGCUCGGGCGUUGGGAUGACUGGUUACAUGGCCGGUGACAAGCACGCGGAGGAGGCCCCUCAGACCCAGGGGGAGGUGCCUGGUGAUGUCACCCUGGCAAUGUUCUGCACGAAGCUGCUACAGCUGCCCUGAGUUCACACCAGAGUCGCCAUCCCAGGAACAAGGGGACGGCAGGACAGUGCCCAAAGCACGGUUUCCAGGUGAAGCGGGUUUUUCUUUGGGGUUUGAUGGCUGUGGGUAGAAGACCCGGGUAGGAAGGCGGCGAAGGAAAGGAAGGGGACUGUAGCUGGGGAUGUGAAGCACCCACCCCGUAACCUGGGCCCGACCCGCUGGGUCCUCUGGGCCCGUCACUCCCAAAGCUCUGAGAAAUCUCCACGUCUCAGCCUCACUGUGAAGUUACUCAUCUCUGAAAAUCGCCUCCUGCUGGCGAGAUCACCUGCGCCCUGAGCCGCACCAUGCCGCUGAGAUCAGGCAGAGCGCAGCAGGUGUAGUUCAGAAACCUGCGGCCACCUGCAGAGGAGGCGGGGUCCACAGGCAGAUCCCAGGGCCAGGGACACCUCAGGAUCUAUGAUCAAAGAACAGAGCUCAGCAGACGGACGUCACCCCACGUGCUCUCCCUGUGCCCACCUGAAACGGCUGAAGGCAGGGUCUUCCCUCUGAAAUAAGAAUAAAGUCCCCCCUGCUGAGGGAAGGGAGCCCAGGGGCUGUGACCCCCCCACACACAGCCCACCAAGGAGCAGCAAAGAAACAGGGAGCAUCGCAACCCCCCAGAGGCCUCUCCAUCUUCCCAGACCACGUCAGUUUUCAUCUCCGCCAUGCGACUGACCACCUAUGCACACUAGCUGCCUGUCCUUAAUUCCUGCUUCCCAGUGAUGGGCCUCGUCACCAGAGAGCAUUCUGUGCAGUCACGGGCUGCGUGCCAUGUUCCAGUCCACCUCGGGCCACGCCUCACCUGGUGACAUCACACCGACUGAAAGCCUAUUUGUGCCCAACGCCAGGAAAGUGGAAAUUUCCCCAGGCCUGUUUCUGGUGCUUAGAGAGACCCCGGUGGCCUUUCCUAUUGUUCUUCACCAAAGGAAUUGGGCACCUCUGUUCGGAGCUCGCCUGGUGAGACCGCGACCUAACCCUUGGACCUGGUUCCCCCCGGGAGCCUUGGCUGGGCCGAGAGGGGGCCCGGGCUGCGCUGGGGGCCCUCUGUAUGCAUGUUUGCAUUUUCUUCCCUGAGACGUGGCAGUCGCGGUCCUGCGGUCCCUGCAGCGGGACAGGCACAUGGAGAGCCACCCAGGAAGGUCUGUCACUCUGGGGAGUGCCAGGCUCUCUCCAGCAGCAGACCCCCGCCCAGCCUUCCUCUGCUAGGAAAUACUUCUGCCUCCAGGAAGUAGAGAAGAGGCCAGUGCGGGCCUCGGGCGGCCAGCCAGCUCUGUGAAGCCUGCCCACCGCAUCAGCUCCAGAUGUUUUUCGUUCAAAAUAAAACAUGGAGUGGUCAAUGCCCCUGUGACCUGCCCUCCGCAGUCCCGUCUCUGUCGGCCCCAGGGAUGCACUCGGGGCGUCCAUCGAUGCAGGGCGUCGUGGUCUGCCACACGCGUGGGCCUGUGAACGCCACCCCGUAAGCCACCCAGUUGGCGUGUUUUAAACCAUGCAGGGGUCACACGGCGCUUCCCACAGAUGGCUCUUGUCUGAACUUGACUCCCGUAGGGCCUCCUGCUGGACGGUGUGUGACCAUCAGAUCAAGACAGAAGAGCCGUGUAGAACAGGGCAGG